rnacentral:lncRNA from 1 species
AUGCAGAUGUCCAUCCAGCUGCCAGCGUCCCAGGGCCACACCCGGCGUGUGCCUGUGUCGGCCCCUCGAUGCCUAGGGCUGUGGAUCUCAGCUGCUCUUGAACAGGACUCGGGGUACAUCCAGGGGUGCAACUUAGGGUCGUGCUGGCCUCUGCAGCCUUGUCUCCUCCCUCAGCGUGCCUUCUGCUCCCCAGAGCCCCCAACACACAAUGCGAUUUGUGCCCCUGGCCUUUGCACAGGCUGUGCCUCCGCCUGCCUGCUCUCCGCUCCGACCAUCAAGGCCCAGCUGUCGUCUCCUCGUGGACGUUUUCUCGACGCCCGCCUGCUGGCCUCAGAGCAGGACCUGGGGGUGUGCUCACAAAUGUCCCCAGCUGGGCUGGGGUGUCUCUGUCUGUCUGUCUUCCCACAAAACCGCCAGCCCCAGGGGACAGAGGCGGGGCCUGGCUCCCGGCCCCAGAGCCUGACACUGCGCUCAGCAUGCGGCAGGAGGACACUGUGGUCAGGUUGGAUCAAAUGGGAUCAGCGACUCAGUGACCCAAGAAGAUGCAGGCCACCACUUUGGAGGUGGCACCGGGCGGGCGUGGGGCAGCUGUGGACCGUGAUGGCCCAGCACACGGCGCCUGGCUCCGAGCACGCCGGCCACAGACAAAAGCAACGCCAUGUGCUGCUGUCACGAUGCCCCAAGCCAAAACGUGAGGUCGCAGGGGUGCCGGGGUCCCAGGGCCUGAAUUCCCCGUGGAGAUGUCCAUUGCUCGUGACCCGGCUCUGCUGGCUGCACCCCCAGAAUUUGGGGGAGUCCUGCACUGGGCCCCAGCUCUGGCAUGGCAGCCCAAGGGGGCUCCAGACCUCUUGGCAGCGCCAUCUCCGGCACCACCACGAGACCCUGACACUGAGUCCCCUGCUGAUGGUGGAUUUCACGCGAAGGCCUCAUGUUCCGGAAACACACAGCCAUUUUACUCAAACCGACUGGCACGCCUGCCAAACUGGCCGCGGGCCGAGGCAUUAA